rnacentral:tRNA from 3 species
AACAAGGUAGCUUAGUGAAUGGAGCGUCAGAUUCCGGUUCUGAAGGUCGUGGGUUUGAGUCCCACCCGGGUCACGA